rnacentral:snRNA from 1 species
CAAUUUAUUAUGCUGUACAAUAAUAUGUUGGAACUUGACAUGAUUCUUUGUGAAAAACACCCCUGUGAUUUCCCCAAAUACAGGAAACGUGACUACAUAAUUUGUGGUAGUGGGGGAUUGUGUUCACGCUCUCCUCUA